GUGUAUGGCUCAGUGGUAGAGUACUUGCAUAGCAUGUGCGAGGCCCAAGGUUUGAUUCCUAGUCACA
rnacentral:tRNA from 1 species